rnacentral:rRNA from 1 species
UACAGGGGUCUCAAGCGUUGUUCGGAUUCAUUGGGCGUAAAGGGUGCGUAGGCGGCGCUGUAAGUCGGGUGUGAAAUUUCGGAGCUUAACUCCGAAACUGCAUUCGAUACUGCGGUGCUUGAGGACUGGAGAGGAGACUGGAAUUCAUGGUGUAGCAGUGAAAUGCGUAGAGAUCAUGAGGAAGACCAGUGGCGAAAGCGGGUCUCUGGACAGUAACUGACACUGAGGCACGAAGGCCAGGGGAGCAAACAGG